rnacentral:rRNA from 1 species
GACGAACGCUGGCGGCGCGCUUAACACAUGCAAGUCGAACGGAAAGGCCUGCUUUCCCUUGUGGAUUGCGGGUACUCGAGUGGCGAACGGGUGAGUAACACGUGAGUGAUCUGCCCCCAACUUGGGUAUAAGCCUGGGAAACUGGGUCUAAUUCCCGAUAGGACUGCAGGGUGGUUCCUGUGGUGGAAAACGAUUUUCUAGUGGUUGGGGAUGAGCUCGCGGCCUAUCAGCUUGUUGGUGGGGUAAUGGCCUACCAAGGCGGCGACGGGUAGCCGGCCUGAGAGGGUGGACGGCCACAUUGGGACUGAGAUACGGCCCAGACUCCUACGGGAGGCAGCAGUGGGGAAUAUUGCACAAUGGGCGGAAGCCUGAUGCAGCGACGCCGCGUGGGGGAUGACGGGCUUCGGGUUGUAAACUCCUUUCGACCGCGAGGAAGCCACCUGGUUGGAAGGGUGGUGACGGUAGUGGUAGAAGAAGCACCGGCUAACUACGUG